CUUCACAGGACACAGGUUUAAAAAAAUUAUAAUAAGGAGCAGCAGGAAAAGAGUAAUGAAUGGAAAAAAAUGCUCCGUAAAACGUUGGUUCCUUUACUUACCCACUGAUGACAGACAAGGUUUCUUGCCGGCGUCUUGCCUUCACCUGACUCUCUUAAUCAACAAGGCAGCUGCGGUCCCGACUUAACCACUUACCGUCGCCCCUCCCCUCCCCAUCCUGCCUGCACUUCCAUAAUCGCACGCGAGCUGCCAUGACAGGCAUGCAGAUGAUCCUCGACAAGAGAAUGAAAGGGUGAAAAGCGGGAUGAAGGAGCUGACCCUGUCCCAGAUACAAUCACACCAGGCCCUUGACCUCCUUGAUGAAGUCAAGCAGAGAGGAUUAUGGGAGACUUUGAUGAAACCUGCUGAAAGGAAAGUCAUUAUUGUGUUCGUGCACACUCACACGAUCAAAGCAACAACGUCAAUGCUUCUUCAAGGUUGGAAAGAAACAUCAAGUGCUCCUCAUGCAUCACGCCCUGUUCGUGAAAUACGGCGCAAACGGACAGGACGUGGUUUAAAGAUGGGACAGAAACCGACACAACACACGCAGAGACCUUCUAGGGGAGCACUGCCACAAUAACAGCAGCGGGUGUUGAAAACAUCCAUAGAAACAAAACGCAAAGUCAGGAAACAAACAAACUGGUUCGAACCUGGUUGAAGAACCUUGAGAUGAAAGAUAAUCCUGUAUACUUUAGUGUUUAUUAUCCCUAGCUUAGCGACAUCUACGGCUGGUAUUAGCUAGGACGCCACCAGGUGGAAUUUCCUCAGCACAUCUUGGUUAUUUCCGAUAGCCGUUUUU